rnacentral:rRNA from 1 species
GACGUAGGAGGCGAGCGUUAUCCGGAUUCACUGGGCGUAAAGCGCAUGUAGGCGGCUGGGAAAGUCCGUGGUUAAAGCCCCUGGCUCAACUGGGGGAGGUUCACGGAGACUACUCGACUUGAGGGCAGCAGAGGCGCGUGGAACUCCCGGUGUAGCGGUGGAAUGCGUAGAUAUUCGCAAGAACACCAGUGGCGAAGGCGGCUCACUGGCCCGGUACUGACGCUGAGGUGCGAAAGCGUGGGGAGCAAACAGG